ensembl:lncRNA
AUGCAGUGGAGGCUCCUUAAAUAUGAUCUACAUAACGUGAAUCAAACACUGCCGUGGAAUGUACCUAAAUACAUUUACUCAAGCUGGCAAAUUAAAACAAUUUCAUUGGCUCACCUGGUACCUGCCGGCCAUUGGCUCACCCGCUACCUGCCGGCCAUUGGCUCACCCGCUACCUGCCUGCCAUUGGCUCACCCGGUACCGGCCUGCCAUUGGCUCACCCGGUACCGGCCUGCCAUUGGCUCACCCGGUACCGGCCUGCCAUUGGCUCACCCGGUACCGGCCUGCCAUUGGCUCACCUGGUACCGCCCUGCCAUUGGCUCACCCGGUACCUGCCUGNCAUUGGCUCACCUGGUACCUGCCGGUCAUCAGCUGGCUCCUGGAGGGCGUGCACAGCGGCUGGACGUAGUAGUUCUCCAGGCGGACUCCCGCCGCGGACAGCCGGUCCAGGUUCGGGGUGCGGAUCUCCGAGCCGUGGUACCCAACGUCGUUCCAGCCGAAGUCGUCCGCCAGGAUGAAGACGACGUGCGGGCGCGCGGCCGCCGAAGCUGA